rnacentral:rRNA from 1 species
GAUGAACGCUGGCGGCGUGCCUAAUACAUGCAAGUCGAGCGAACGGACGAGAAGCUUGCUUCUCUGAUAUUAGCGGCGGACGGGUGAGUAACACGUGGAUAACCUACCUAUAAGACUGGGAUAACUUCGGGAAACCGGAGCUAAUACCGGAUGAUAUUUUGAACCGCAUGGUUCAAAAGUGAAAGACGGUCUUGCUGUCACUUAUAGAUGGAUCCGCGCUGCAUUAGCUAGUUGGUAAGGUAACGGCUUACCAAGGCAACGAUGCAUAGCCGACCUGAGAGGGUGAUCGGCCACACUGGAACUGAGACACGGUCCAGACUCCUACGGGAGGCAGCAGUAGGGAAUCUUCCGCAAUGGGCGAAAGCCUGACGGAGCAACGCCGCGUGAGUGAUGAAGGUCUUCGGAUCGUAAAACUCUGUUAUUAGGGAAGAACAUAUGUGUAAGUAACUGUGCACAUCUUGACGGUACCUAAUCAGAAAGCCACGGCUAACUACGUG